rnacentral:rRNA from 1 species
UUGAUUACGUCCCUGCCCUUUGUACACACCGCCCGUCGCUACUACCGAUUGGAUGACUUAGUGAGGUCUUAGGACCGACGUAAAGGAGCUUUCGCGAGUUCUUUUUCGUUGGAAAUUUGAUCGAACUACGUUAUCUAGAGGAAGUAAAAGUCGUAACAAGGUUUCCGUAGGUGAACCUGCGGAAGGAUCAUUACCAAGCUAGAAUAAAAACUGACUGCGAUAGAAUAUUCGCUAGUUGUGAAAAGUCGCGUCCGAAUACUACGUACGUACGUAAUGAAUGUGCGUGUGGUUGACGACGACAACUGGGACUACGACCGGGAAAAUGGGCCGGGCGCCGUUGCGCGAAAGCCUCGGUCGGUAGUCUCUAAAUUCCAGGGUCGCCUUGUGUGUGUCGAUCGUUGCAGACGCGUCGGUUGUAGCGGAGUUGGGAUACCUACCCGCGGUCUCUGCCGAUUUACGAUCGUUUUACACACUCGCGCACGAUCUCUGAGCGAAGUACUAUUAUCAGACGUUCGGGAUCGAGUCGGUCGUAAAGUAUGUGUUAUCCGGCUCGAUUCUUCUUCGGGUACCUAUCGAAGCUAACGCCUGCGGUUCCGUCUGGCUGUAGCGGAUUAGCGUUAGUUUCGAGGACCCCUUCCUUAGGGAAGGGGCAGAUUUAAAGAGUCGCUGGCUCUCGUCGAAUAUCGUAGAGCGAUCUCGCUUCGAACCCGCGAAAUUUUCGAACCUCGCGCCUAGAGUAAUAAACGGUGUGGUGGUCGUUCGAAGGGGUUCGUCGUUCGGGAUUCUGGGCGCGGUAAAGUUUCGCCCGGGUGACCGCCCGAAACAAAAAUAUCCUCAAAUAUUGUCGUUAUAAGAAAGAAAAAAAAAGAAUCUAAUAGAUUCCAUUCUAAGCGGUGG